GAUGAACGCUAGCUACAGGCUUAACACAUGCAAGUCGAGGGGAAACGGCAUUAAGUGCUUGCACUUUUUGGACGUCGACCGGCGCACGGGUGAGUAACGCGUAUCCAACCUUCCCAUGACUAAGGGAUAACCUGCCGAAAGGCAGACUAAUACCUUAUGGUCUUCACUGACGGCAUCAGAUGUGAAGUAAAGAUCUAUCGGUUAUGGAUGGGGAUGCGUCUGAUUAGCUUGUUGGCGGGGUAACGGCCCACCAAGGCAACGAUCAGUAGGGGUUCUGAGAGGAAGGUCCCCCACAUUGGAACUGAGACACGGUCCAAACUCGUACGGGAGGCAGCAGUGAGGAAUAUUGGUCAAUGGGCGAGAGCCUGAACCAGCCAAGUAGCGUGCAGGAUGACGGCCCUAUGGGUUGUAAACUGCUUUUGUAUGGGGAUAAAGUCAAUCACGUGUGAUUGUUUGCAGGUACCAUACGAAUAAGGACCGGCUAAUUCCGUG
rnacentral:rRNA from 1 species